UACGAAGGGGGCUAGCGUUGUUCGGAAUUACUGGGCGUAAAGCGCGCGCAGGUGGUCUUUCAAGUCAGUGGUGAAAGCCCGGAGCUCAACUCCGGAAAUGCCAUUGAAACUGUAAGACUUGAGGAUGAGAGAGGUGAGUGGAAUUCCCAGUGUAGAGGUGAAAUUCGUAGAUAUUGGGAAGAACACCGGUGGCGAAGGCGGCUCACUGGCUCAUAUCUGACGUUGAGGCGCGAAAGCGUGGGGAGCAAACAGG
rnacentral:rRNA from 1 species